GACCCCGCCCCUCUCUGUGUUUACACUCUAAUAAUAAUCAUUCUGUUUUCUGAUUCUUUUAUUUCUUUCUAUCGAUAAACAUGCCCUUGUUCGAAGGCUUGGACAGCGGAGGAGAGAAGACAGCGGCCUACACGAAAUGUGGUUCUGCCGGCGAAACGGGGCGAGAUUCAUCAUUCCCAGAGAAAUCAAACACGCUGGAUCUCCGGAGGACACUGAUAGAGUUAAAACAUUAAUCUGAAGCUCUCUUGAAUGCGUGUGUCUCAUGCGUUUCGAGUCGUCCAGCACAACAUCAACACUGAGGAGUCUACAGCAUCCUGAAGGAGUUCGUUCACCUGCUCUACUUCCGGCAUCUGCUGGUGAAUCCUCGAGACCGGCGCGUGGUGAUCGUUGAGUCCAUCCUCUGUCCUUCACACGUCAGAGAGACGCUCUCCAGAGUCUUCUUUUAGAAAUGAUUAUGCAGCUUGACCCCUUCGGCGAGCUGCAGCUUAUUUGUUAGUGUUAGUGCUGCAUUUUGGUUCAUAAUAAAUUAUCUUCAUAAAUCUGA